UACGUAGGGUGCAAGCGUUAAUCGGAAUUACUGGGCGUAAAGCGUGCGCAGGCGGUUGUGUAAGACAGAUGUGAAAUGCCCGGGCUUAACCUGGGAACUGCAUUUGUGACUGCACGGCUAGAAUCUGGCAGAGGGGGGUAGAAUUCCACGUGUAGCAGUGAAAUGCGUAGAUAUGUGGAGGAAUACCGAUGGCGAAGGCAGCCCCCUGGGCUAAGAUUGACGCUCAUGCACGAAAGCGUGGGGAGCAAACAGG
rnacentral:rRNA from 1 species